rnacentral:rRNA from 1 species
GAUGAACGCUAGCGAUAGGCCUAACACAUGCAAGUCGAGGGGCAUCACAUGAAGUAGCAAUACGGAUGGUGGCGACCGGCGCACGGGUGAGUAACACGUAUGCAACCUGCCUUCAACAAGGGGAUAACCCGUUGAAAGACGGACUAAUACCCUAUAACACAGGGGUCCCGCAUGGGAAUAUUUGUUAAAGGACAACCGGUUGAAGAUGGGCAUGCGUUCCAUUAGCUAGUUGGCGGGGUAACGGCCCACCAAGGCAACGAUGGAUAGGGGAACUGAGAGGUUUAUCCCCCACACUGGUACUGAGACACGGACCAGACUCCUACGGGAGGCAGCAGUGAGGAAUAUUGGUCAAUGGACGCAAGUCUGAACCAGCCACGUCGCGUGAAGGAAGACGGCCCUACGGGUUGUAAACUUCUUUUAUACGGGAAUAAAGUGCCCCACGCGUGGGGUUUUGCAUGUACCGUAUGAAUAAGGAUCGGCUAACUCCGUGCCAGCAGCCG